UACGUAGGGUGCAAGCGUUGUUCGGAAUUAUUGGGCGUAAAGCGCGCGUAGGCGGGUUUGUAAGUCGAUUGUGAAAGCCCUAGGCUUAACCUGGGAAUGGCAGUCGAAACUGCAAAUCUUGAAUACCUAAGAGGAUGGCGGAAUUCCCGGUGUAGUAGUGAAAUACGUAGAUAUCGGGAGGAACACCUGAGGCGAAGGCGGCUGUCUGGUGGUGUAUUGACGCUGAGGCGCGAAAGCGUGGGGAGCAAACAGG
rnacentral:rRNA from 1 species